GGGUGAGGUCGCGCAGCGCGGCGGCGUCGGCGCCCCCGACGCGGCGGGCGACCUCCUCGAACGUCACGUUCUCGUCGUGCUCGCCCACC
rnacentral:tRNA from 1 species